GAAUCAGCGGGGAAAGAAGACCCUUUUGAGCUUGACUCUAGUCUGGCACUGUGAAGAGACAUGAGAUGUAGAAUAAGUGGGAGGCCUCGGCCAGCGGUGAAAUACCACUACUGUUAUCAUUUUUUCACUUACCCAGUGAGGCAAGCCCUGAGCGAGCUCGUGCUUCUCCCCGCUCCGGGGACAGUGGCAGGUGGGGAGUUUGACUGGGGCGGUACAACUGUCAAACGGUAACAGGUGUCCUAAGGCGAGCUCAGGGAGGACAGAAACUUACCGUGGCGCAGAAGGGCAAAAGCUCGCAUGAUCUUGAUUUUCAGUAUGAAUACAGAACGUGAAAGCGGGACUCACGAUCGUUCUGACUUUUUGAGUUUUAAGCAGGAGGCGUCAGAAAAGUUCCCACAGAGAUAACUGGCUCGUGGCGGCCAAGCGUUCAUAGCGACGUCGCUUUUUGAUCCUUUGAUGUCGGCUCUUCCUACGAUUGUGAAGCAGAAUUCACCAAGCGUUGGAUUGUUCACCCACUAAUAGGGAACGUGACAUGGGUUUAGACCAUCGUGGGACAGGUUAGUUUUACCAUACUGAUGUGUUGCUGCAUUAGAAAUCCUGCUCAGUACGAGAGGAACCGCAGGUUCAGACAUUUGGUGUACGUGCUUGGCUGAGGAGCCAAUGGUGCGAAGCUACCAUCUGUGUGAUUAUGACUGAACGCCUCCAAGUCAGAAUCCCCCCUAAACUUAACAAUACCGUAGCGCCGCAGAUCUUCGGUUAGCCCGGGACAGCCUGCCUCUUUUGGCAGGUGAGUAGAGCCGUUUGUGACUGGGUUGGGGUGUGGCCGGAUGAGUUGCCACACCUCUCUACUGAUGCGCACUCCAUGUUUGUGGGGAACCUGGUGCUAAAUCACUUGUAGACGACAUGAUUCUGGGUCAGGGUUUUGUACGUAGCAGAGCCGCUCACUCACUGCGAUCUAUUGAAAGUCAGCCCUCAAUCCAAGCUUUU
rfam:Salmo salar isolate Sally breed double haploid chromosome ssa24, whole genome shotgun sequence.